AAAAAGUAAACGGCCAUCUACUGGAUGUUGGUUAAAAAACUUUUGCCACCCGAUUGUAGCAAAUGUUUUUAUCACCCAUGGUCCCGGAUCCGGCAAAAAUACGGCGCACUUAUAUAAAGAUGAAGGAAAUUCAUGGCGUAAUGUCCUCAGAAGACUAUGUUGCACACCCUUCUGGCCAGAGGCUUUGUUCUCGGGUUGACGUUUAAAAGUGGCCACCGUGUUUCGGGAGAUAAAUGAAGAAAAAAGCUCAAAAUAAAAAGUGA